GAAAUUCCUGCGGGGUCGAGCUGGGAACACAUGAGAUAUGAACCGCUUGAUUGAAUAUCAACUCAUGUGUUCUCAGGUCGCCCCCGCUGGAGCCUC
rnacentral:pre_miRNA from 1 species